GACGAACGCUGGCGGCGUGCUUAACACAUGCAAGUCGAACGGAAAGGCCCUGCUUUUGUGGGGUGCUCGAGUGGCGAACGGGUGAGUAACACGUGAGUAACCUGCCCUUGACUUUGGGAUAACUUCAGGAAACUGGGGCUAAUACCGGAUAGGAGCUCCUGCUGCAUGGUGGGGGUUGGAAAGUUUCGGCGGUUGGGGAUGGACUCGCGGCUUAUCAGCUUGUUGGUGGGGUAGUGGCUUACCAAGGCUUUGACGGGUAGCCGGCCUGAGAGGGUGACCGGCCACAUUGGGCCUGAGAUACGGCCCAGGCUCCUACGGGAGGCAGCAGUGGGGAAUAUUGCACAAUGGGCGGAAGCCUGAUGCAGCAACGCCGCGUGCGGGAUGACGGCCUUCGGGUUGUAAACCGCUUUCGCCUGUGACGAAGCGUGAGUGACGGUAAUGGGUAAAGAAGCACCGGCUAACUACGUG
rnacentral:rRNA from 1 species